CCUACGGGAGGCAGCAGUAGGGAAUUUUGGACAAUGGGCGAAAGUCUGAUCCAGCCAUUCCGCGUGCAGGAUGAAGGCCCUCGGGUUGUAAGCUGCUUUUGUACGGAACGAAAAGGUUUGUCUUAAUACGAUGAGCUCAUGACGGUACCA
rnacentral:rRNA from 1 species